AUUCGUAGCUAUGCGUUGGCAAAGGAGUUUGCUGUUGCUGUGCGCCCCUCUCGUCUCUCAUCGAGUGCUCGUAAAAAGUCUACCAGGGAUUUGCCAUGAAAUUGAGGGUUUUGCGACCCGCGCAUGCAAGCAUAGCCUUGAGUGUCAGAGACCGCCGCUAACGCUGGUCUACAAGUGCAACAUUUGAAGAGAGCGAGGCGUGCGCGGCUGCUCUCUUCAUACUGCUGCACCAGGCAUAUGAGGAAAACAACGAGGGUGAGUCACUCAAUGUGUGGGUGCAGAAAAGAGCUGACGCUUCGCCCACAUUCUUCUACUGGCUCCUAGUUCUGAACCUGGAGACCCUUUGUUUUCUCUCCUUAAAGUCAGUGCGGGGGCAGGACUACGAGUUGUACAAAGAGUGCCUUACCCGAAUACUGCCGUGGUGUUUUGUCGUCAAUAGAUUAAAUUACGCCAAAGCUUUGUCGAUACAGCUCACCGAUUUGACGUAAGGGAGGGUGGGGCAGUUAGUGACAGGGGCAGUUAGUGACACUUCGUACCCUAGGCCGUCCAAUUGAAUUUUCGCACCAACUUCGAUCGGCUUAACCAAGUUUCAGAGCUCGAAAAACAUUUGCCACAAGGCGGUGGUGUUCGGCAAAUUGUUAUGGCGGUGGUGAAACUUUGAAUGUGUCUGAUCACAAUUUUGAGGUAAGUUUCGACUUUUGCCCUUUUUUCUUUUUGUAAAUACUCCGUAAAUAUCGCCAACUUCACCAUACGGAUUUUUCUGUGAUUGGUAUGGACUAUAUACUUAAUGAUUUUACGCGCGGUCCGAACUUAGUCCGACGAGUUAACCUCUCGUUCACGUUGAAACACCGUACUGCACUUGGGGUAGAUAGUGACAGUUUUUGCCGGGGCAGUUAGUGACACCUAGAUUUUUAUAAUACAACGCGUAUUUCUCUGUUGACAUAAUGCACUGAACUGACAUUUUUUUUUUGAUGUGUGGUCUAAACUCUAUUGGUUUUUCAGGUCCAGAAUGGUUCGAAACUACUUUUGAAACUAGUUUUGUGAGUAAAACUCCUUCUAGCGCCUAAACGGUGAGAGGCAUCGCCAGCAUUAAAUGCGCACAUAUCCAUUGGCCAAGGUCCUGGCUACUGUUUCAAUUUUUUUUUAUUUUUCUUUAUUUUUCUCUGAUUUUUACUGAUUUUUUCCGAUUUUUUCCCGACGAUUUUGGAGAGAAUUGACGUAAAUCGGCCAGAAUCGGGCAAAAUCGAGCAAAAUCGGGCAAAAUCGAGCAAUCGGCCUUAAUCAGGAUCUCUCCAAAAUCGUCGGGAAAAAAUCGGAAAAAAUCAGAAAAAUUCGGAAAAAAUAAAGAAAAAUAAAAAAAAUUGAAACUGUAGCCAGGACCUUGGCCAACGGAUCUGUGCGCCUUGUGCGCGCGAUGCGCACAUGCACAUACCUGCACCUGCCGCCGGUCCUGCUGCAGGCGGGCCGAUCUUGUGCACAAGCUAGUUGUGCACAGAAUGUCUGUGCACGCGAGUCGCACGUGUUGUGCACAGGACCGCUUUAUCACGGGAAAAGCAAGGUUUAAUGCAAUUUUAUACCGUUGUCACUAAGUGCCCCGACCUCUGUCACUAACUGCCCCGGGCCGGGGUACAUAGUGACAAAUGCAGGGCUCCAGUUCAAGCCACUUUGUUGGCACACUGGCUCGUAACUCAUCGAACCACCAUCUGCAUUACCUCGGCAAAGGUUGCAAGUAACUAUCUAAGCUUUCGUGCUCAACAUUUCGCCGAAAAUAAGCGAAAUAAGCUCGAUUUCCAAAAAGUGUCACUAACUGCCCCACCCUCCCUUACCUGUCUCAAGUUGCCCCUACAGUGCAAAAAAUAUUCUCCAACGGCUUUUUUGCCCUCAACAAAACGCCAGCCCCGCACUCAGCAAUUGCCGCUGACCCAUUUCAUGAGCAGAAUAAUGCUAUACUUAAAGCAGAGCUAGGUGCCUCUGGUCGCAUACACAGCGACAACAAAAUGCGGGGAAAGGUGCUGGUAGCCCCAGAAAUUGCACGUCUGUGGCAUGAAUUUUCUCUCAGGGCGACCAAGCAGAAGGCGGACUCUUCUCUUCACCGUGAACAAACUGCAGCCCACCAUAGAAUCAAUUCGUAACCCUUUUCACGAGACAGCACCAAACCUCGUCGCCAUUGAUUCGGGCGUUGUUCUGUCAAGUGAGUCCGUAGAAAACCUUCGUAUAGCAGGGGCGGAGGCUGUCAGAAUGAUGGAAACAUUUUUACAGAGAUCGCCUCUCCAGGCAGGGUGCGAACAAGUCUCCGUUCGACCCUAUGCAGAAAUGUAAGCUACAAUUAUUUUCAAAGUCUGCAGUGGUCGCUCGGCCCGAGGCGCGACAGAUCAAAAGUUUGAAGGAGGAUCUGCACCUGUUCACUUCUAUGUAGAUGGCUGCCUGACGAAACUGUUGGUGUAGGUGGCGGUGGUUCUUCGCCGCACCACCGUGCCGAUGGUGCUCCAUCAGUACAAGGAACACCACAGCUGGAGCUUCCUCGCUCGCGUCAUCCCCGCCAGCCUGCUGGCCACAACAGGCGCGGGCAAGCCGGGAAUCAGUCGCAGCACAACGACGAUUCGGAUGUAGAGGACAACAAUGGGCUCGACCGCCCGAAUCCGGUGAGGGCCGCGGCCAGCGGCCAGAGCCCGCGACCUCCAGCACGAGCACGACGAGCACGAAGCGCGCACGAGCGCCCGCCAAAGGCUUGCGCAGGCCAUAGAGGAGAGGAACGGAGGAGAGCGGACCGGGAGAUGGGCAGGCAGCGCCAGCAGCUGGCCGAAGUGGAGCGAGAGGCGCGGGAGGUGCAGAACAGGCCGGCGCAGCAGGGUAAAGAUGGUGCCGAAGUGCGGCUCCCGCAGCAGCUCGUCAACGCGAACCUCAUGGACGGCUGUGAUGCCUUUGGGAAGACUGUUGCCGACUUCCUGAGGCCAUUCUCCAUGGAUACGAGAGGGCUGCAGCCAUGUCGGACGUGCUCGGUCUCCUCACUGACUACAUAAGGAACAUGAGCCACCGGGGCAAUGACAAUGCCAACGGAUAAAAAUUUAUUUUGCACAUUGUUUUGUACGCUUGUUAAUGUUAUUUUUUUAUAACUGUUGAUUUUCAUGGACUGUGAUUGACAAUCCUUGAGUUCUUAAUUUUUUAUGUUCAUGUUCCACAACAGUUAUCUUACUGUGUUCUUUUUAUUGAAUUUUAUUCUUUUAUGUUGUAGACCAAGUAUUGUUUAAAAAGUUUGUGUUUGACUUGUAUAGGUGAAAGCAAUUUCAUUAAUGAUAUCUUCUUAAAUGUUAUCCUUGUCGUUAGUAAAUUUAUUUACAAUCUCCACAUGACCACACCAAGAUCAACAUUGUUUCAGAGAUUAACAUGUGUACACAGCAUAACAUUACCAAAAAAAGCCACAAUUUCACAGCACACACUGACCACUAUUCUAAGUAAAUUGCAACUAAUAUCACAGAGAGCCACUUAUGAGGGCAGAAUACAGACCACACUUCUGACUUACUUACAGUACCACAGCUUCUCACGAAUGGAUUCUACAAAUACAUACAAUUAGAUACAUGAUCCUAAAUAGAACACCUUAAUGCAUUCACACAGAGAGAUGAGCAUAACAUAGGCAACAGAAAAAACAAUUUAAGAAAACUUAUCAUGGUAUCUAAGUAGGAGUCUGGAGGAAUAAUGUGCCAUUGCCACGAUACUGGCUCAUAAAUAAAUAGUCUCAGAAAUUUUUCUCUGAUAAGGAUUGGAGCUAAGUCAUCAUCAUAUGUUGGAUUUGACCGUUGUAUAUCUCAGGGUUGGCAUAGAGUAUUAUAUUGUGCUUUAUGGAGCCAAAUUAAUUUGUACUUCUCCGGUGCUAAAUUCGAAGUGCAAAAUUUGAAGGGCGAAAUACAGUAUAGUGUAGAGCUAUAUUCUGUGAAAAUUAAAGGUGUCUUAAAAGUGCGAAACGAUUAAUUAAUUUCGCCCUCAAGGGAAAUAA